GACGAACGCUGGCGGCGUGCUUAACACACGCAAGUCGAACGGUGAAGCUCCAGCUUGCUGGAGUGGAUCAGUGGCGAACGGGUGAGUAACACGUGAGCAACCUGCCCCAGACUCUGGAAUAAGCGCUGGAAACGGCGUCUAAUACUGGAUACGAGAUCAAGCCGCAUGGUUAUGGUCUGGAAAGUUUUUCGGUUUGGGAUGGGCUCGCGGCCUAUCAGCUUGUUGGUGAGGUAAUGGCUCACCAAGGCGACGACGGGUAGCCGGCCUGAGAGGGCGACCGGCCACACUGGGACUGAGACACGGCCCAGACUCCUACGGGAGGCAGCAGUGGGGAAUAUUGCACAAUGGGCGAAAGCCUGAUGCAGCGACGCCGCGUGAGGGAUGACGGCCUUCGGGUUGUAAACCUCUUUCAGCAGGGAAGAAGCGAAAGUGACGGUACCUGCAGAAGAAGCACCGGCUAACUACGUG
rnacentral:rRNA from 1 species